rnacentral:rRNA from 1 species
GGACCAUCAUGUCGGUCGUGCCUCGGUACGUACUGGCAUUAUUGGUUUCUCCCUUCUGACGAACCAUGAUGUCAUUAAUUUGGUGUCAUGGGGAAUCAGGACUGUUACUUUGAAAAAAUUAGAGUGUUUAAAGCAGGCAUUAGCUUGAAUACAUUAGCAUGGAAUAAUGAAAUAGGACGGUGGUUCUGUUUUGUUGGUUUCUAGGAUCACGUA